rfam:Pseudozyma antarctica T-34 DNA, contig: scaffold00011.
UCCCGGCUAGCUCAGUCGGUAGAGCGUCAGACUCUUAUUCAAGGGUUUCCGAGCUUCGCUUGGUAUCUGAAUGUCGUGGGUUCGAGCCCCACGUUGGGAG